rnacentral:rRNA from 1 species
AACGAACGCUGGCGGCAGGCCUAACACAUGCAAGUCGAGCGAGGACUUCGGUCCUAGCGGCGGACGGGUGAGUAACGCGUGGGAACGUGCCCUUUGCUUCGGAACAGCCCUGGGAAACUGGGAGUAAUACCGGAUGAGCCCUUUGGGGGAAAGAUUUAUCGGCGAAGGAUCGGCCCGCGUUGGAUUAGGUAGUUGGUGGGGUAAUGGCCUACCAAGCCGACGAUCCAUAGCUGGUUUGAGAGGAUGAUCAGCCACACUGGGACUGAGACACGGCCCAGACUCCUACGGGAGGCAGCAGUGGGGAAUCUUAGACAAUGGGGGAAACCCUGAUCUAGCCAUGCCGCGUGAGCGAUGAAGGCCUUAGGGUUGUAAAGCUCUUUCAGCUGGGAAGAUAAUGACGGUACCAGCAGAAGAAGCCCCGGCUAACUCCGUG